rnacentral:tRNA from 1 species
GGGUGUACAGCUCAGUGGUGGAGCGCAUGCUUAGCGCACAUGGGGUCCUGGGUUCAACCCAGUCCCUCCA